UUGGACCAUCGUGAUCAAACCCGUUUUCAGCUCAAAGUUGUUGACGUUCACUCGUGGGGGCUCCUGGUACACAUACUGUGGAAUGAACGCUUCAUUGAUGGCUGGUUGUUUCUGAGCCUCUCUCAUCUCCUGUGCAUCAAGCAGCUUCUUCAACUGCUCUUGCAGAGCUCGAAUUUGGAUUUGCUCAGGAGUAGCCAUCGUAUCUGUCUCAAAUAAAAACAAAAAUAAAAAAAAAAAACUGCAACUAAAGAAUAAAACCUAUAGUACUGUAGCAUCCUAUCGAAAAUAUUAAAGCAACUUCUUAACAGUCCCCGGCAACGGCGCCAAAAAGUUGAUCACUAAUUUCUUAGCAACAAAUACC
rnacentral:lncRNA from 1 species